UGUCUGUAAAGGGGAGACUCGUGGGUACCCAUAGAACCCAUUUUCAGCCACAUAUCUUGAGGGGGUUAUGGAAAAAAAAGGGGGGAUUAAUGCUCAAAAGUGCAACUAGCAGAAGCAGAGAGUACGUUGGAGUGAAAGGAUGUAAAUGAGCUCCACUAUGAGCGGAGUGAGAGCAGGUUGUGGUGGCGGAGGGAGUGUUGGAGAGGCUUCACAGUGAGGUCAGAGAUGCUCUGGAGGAUCUAGUGAAAGAGACGGUGGGAGCCAUGGAGCUUACUGAGGAUUAUUACACACACAGGGACAGCUGUCAUACACACAUUUGGAGCACAACGUGUGUGUGUGUGUGUGUGUGUGUGUGUGCGGAGAAGGUAUAAAUGCCGCAAUCCAAGUGUUGAUACGAUGUGUUAUAACAAGUGAGACUGGACAUCUUGUCUUUGUUUUUACACCCAGCCUUAUAGUGUCCUGAUUCAUCUCUGUGCAUCAGUCUGUGUGUGCAGGAGGGGUUAACUCUGUAUGUUCUGACAGUCACAGUGAAAAAACUCUAUGAUACCACGGCUGAUGUAUGUACAGUUAAAGCAUACAGUAUAUAUAUGGCAGGUUGCAUUUUUUCAAUAAAGUGUGACAAUGGCGUUUUUGAAUAUUUUAAA